ACUUGAAACAAUUCAAUCAAAAAACAAUUAUUUUUUCAGGAAAGUGACUAUUCUGCUUUGGUUGAUUUUGUGACUUGGGUACUUGGGCCAGUGUUUUUUUGCGAAUGUGGAUAUUCACUCAAUAAUGAGUAUGAUCAGCUGAGAUGGGCAGUUUAUGACAUUAAUUGGUAUGAAAUACCUGCAGAUUUGCGAAAAAACUAUAUGAUAUUUCUUGGCAGCGUACAAGAACCUAUACACUUGAUUGCACCACCAAUAUUUUGUCUUGACAGAAUUUUUUGUAUGACUAUAUUUAGAGGAUCAUUCAGCUUGCUUAUGUAUUGGAGUAAAUUUGGUGUUGAAAACUGAAGAUGUUACUCCUCAUCUUUUAUAGCACAAUAAGUACAAUCUGACUCAAACAAAACACUUCACCUGGACAAAGAGUUUUUCGUAAAAGCGAGAGACAGGACGAUCUUUAUUUUGAGAGAAUUAAUUGAUAAAUGUACCAGUUUUUUGAAAAUAUUUCACGAAACGUUUCGACCUGUGAUAAUGACGAUAACUUUUAUCAUUUCAUUUGAUUACAAGGAAAGAAAGUA